GCCUUCGUGGUGUACUGGUGAACACGCUUGGCACGUAUUCAAGAGGUCCGUGGUUCGAGUCCCGGCGAGGGCA
rnacentral:tRNA from 1 species